rnacentral:lncRNA from 1 species
AAAACAUAAAAUGGGUCCUCUCAAGACAGACCGGUGAGCAGACACAGAAUACUGUGAGAUCAUUCGCUAGGAGACAGUGCAGUUGCUUGGAUAACAAGUGGAUGACACAUGGAACUCGGGAGCACUAGUUAUGGAGUCGGUGUCAGUCCAGAUAGAAUGUCAACCUGCUCCUGCCGUGUGAAGGCUGGGUGCCAGCUCCUGCCCUCCACAGAGCUAUAAUAUAUUAAUAAUAGGAAUGGCAACAAAAUGUGUGUUCAUCAUCUCAGGGCACACAAGACAAUAGCAGGUCUCAGUGCAGAUCUCGCAGCAUCUCUUCUUCGGUCUUCCUUGGGGAGCUUCUCAAAGCACAGCCCUAUCCCUCUCAUCAACCACCACGAAGGAUUCGCCGACUGGGCUGUUUUCUCUGCAACUUCCACAACGAAGAGGGGAGCCCCUUACCUUGCCCUGGAAUAUUCUUUCUGAGGAUUUCUGAGAGGUAAAGCAGCCACUGAUGGCAGCGUCCAGAGGAUAACAGCACCGUCAAAGAGGAAGCAGGGCGACAGCUUGCUUGGCAGACCCAGCCUGGCUUGAUGCUGCGCAUGCGCUGGACAAACAGCAGGCACAGGGCACAAGGGUCGAGAGUAAACUCCGCCCUCACCUGCGGCUGUUGUGACCACCUGCCACCUCCUGGCCUCCCAGACCUCGUCUACAUCCGAUGCCUCAUUAUAGAUACAGAAUGGUUUUUUUAGAAAAUUGGAAAGUUGAUCAGACUUUUAAAAUAUCACAAAGGAGUCUUAAUGUGGCGUUUAAGAUAAUUCCUUUCAAUAUUUAUUUUCUAAAUAUCCCAGCCACAGACCUGAAGAGUUUAUAUCCCAGUAGGAAAGGCUGGGUAUAGGGUGCAUAGAAUUUCCCCAUACAUCUAUUUCUUUUGCAAUUUCUUGUGAAUCUAUCAUUGUUUCAAAAUAAACUGAAAAAAAUGACAUGGGUCUGAAUCAAACCAAGAGAAUCUAAAAACUGUUUCUAUUUUUAGUCAUCUAAGGACGGGAAAAGGGAAAAAGAGGUCUACGGUCCUGUAGCUCCUUCCAGGCUUUAGAAGCAUAAUGGAAUUGGACCAUUUUUGCCCUGUAGAAAUGUACUUAUCAUGAAAAAAAAGGAAAGUCUUAAGUCCUUGAUACUUCAGAAGAACAUCCAUAGACUCCCCCAUUUGUACACUAGGUCAACCAACAUUUAACAUCACUUCUGUGGUUCAAAUAUGGUGCUCUUGUUAUAACAGCAGACUGAUAUUGUCAAGACAUCACAGGACAAAUGAGCACUGGCCCAGCUUACUAUGCUCAUUUUAACAAGUACAGUCAGCAAGGAUCAGGAAAACCAAUCAUGUAUAUGAUUUAAAUGAUCUAAAUAAAAA